rnacentral:pre_miRNA from 1 species
ACCCUAUCGAUAUUGCCUCUGCUUUGUAGAUAGCUGUGAGUAGUGCAAUAUUGCUUAUAGGGUUU